UACGGAGGGUGCGAGCGUUGCCCGGAAUCACUGGGCGUAAAGGGCGCGUAGGCGGCCUGAUAAGUAGGGGGUGAAAUCUUGCGGCUUAACCGCAAGGCUGCCUUCUAAACUGUCGGGCUAGAGCACAGUAGAGGCAGGUGGAAUUCCCGGUGUAGCGGUGGAAUGCGUAGAGAUCGGGAAGAACAUCAGUGGCGAAGGCGGCCUGCUGGGCUGUUGCUGACGCUGAGGCGCGACAGCGUGGGGAGCAAACAGG
rnacentral:rRNA from 1 species